GGGUUGUGAGGUUAAGCGACUAAGCGUACACGGUGGAUGCCCUGGCAGUCAGAGGCGAUGAAGGGCGUGCUAAUCUGCGAUAAGCGCCGGUAAGGUGAUAUGAACCGUUAUAACCGGCGAUACCCGAAUGGGGAAACCCAGUGUGACUCGUCACACUAUCAUUAACUGAAUCCAUAGGUUAAUGAGGCGAACCGGGGGAACUGAAACAUCUAAGUACCCCGAGGAAAAGAAAUCAACCGAGAUUCCCCCAGUAGCGGCGAGCGAACGGGGAGGAGCCCAGAGCCUGAAUCAGCAUGUGUGUUAGUGGAAGCGUCUGGAAAGGCGCGCGAUACAGGGUGACAGCCCCGUACACAAAAGCGCAUGUGCUGUGAGCUCGAUGAGUAGGGCGGGACACGUGGUAUCCUGUCUGAAUAUGGGGGGACCAUCCUCCAAGGCUAAAUACUCCUGACUGACCGAUAGUGAACCAGUACCGUGAGGGAAAGGCGAAAAGAACCCCGGCGAGGGGAGUGAAAAAGAACCUGAAACCGUGUACGUACAAGCAGUGGGAGCCCCACCACUAAGCCAGUGGUGAACUCCACAUACGCAUCCUUUGCUGAGGAUACGGUUAACGGAGCGAAAGCGACGUUCAACCUCAAAAGAAGCAGAGGGGGCUUAGUGGUGGGGUGACUGCGUACCUUUUGUAUAAUGGGUCAGCGACUUAUAUUCUGUAGCAAGGUUAACCGAAUAGGGGAGCCGGAGGGAAACCGAGUCUUAAUUGGGCGUUAAGUUGCAGGGUAUAGACCCGAAACCCGGUGAUCUAGCCAUGGGCAGGUUGAAGGUUGGGUAACACUAACUGGAGGACCGAACCGACUAAUGUUGAAAAAUUAGCGGAUGACCUGUGGCUGGGGGUGAAAGGCCAAUCAAACCGGGAGAUAGCUGGUUCUCCCCGAAAGCUAUUUAGGUAGCGCCUCGUGAAUUCAUCUCCGGGGGUAGAGCACUGUUUCGGCUAGGGGGCCAUCCCGGCUUACCAACCCGAUGCAAACUGCGAAUACCGGAGAAUGUUAUCACGGGAGACACACGGCGGGUGCUAACGUCCGUCGUGAAGAGGGAAACAACCCAGACCGCCAGCUAAGGUCCCAAAGUCAUGGUUAAGUGGGAAACGAUGUGGGAAGGCCCAGACAGCCAGGAUGUUGGCUUAGAAGCAGCCAUCAUUUAAAGAAAGCGUAAUAGCUCACUGGUCGAGUCGGCCUGCGCGGAAGAUGUAACGGGGCUAAACCAUGCACCGAAGCUGCGGCAGCGACGCUGAUGCGUUGUUGGGUAGGGGAGCGUUCUGUAAGCCUGCGAAGGUGGCCUGUGAGGGUUGCUGGAGGUAUCAGAAGUGCGAAUGCUGACAUAAGUAACGAUAAAGCGGGUGAAAAGCCCGCUCGCCGGAAGACCAAGGGUUCCUGUCCAACGUUAAUCGGGGCAGGGUGAGUCGACCCCUAAGGCGAGGCCGAAAGGCGUAGUCGAUGGGAAACGGGUUAAUAUUCCCGUACUUGGUGUUACUGCGAAGGGGGGACGGAGAAGGCUAUGUUGGCCGGGCGACGGUUGUCCCGGUUUAAGCGUGUAGGUGUGUGUUCCAGGUAAAUCCGGUUCACUUUAACACUGAGGCGUGACGACGAGGCACUACGGUGCUGAAGCAACAAAUGCCCUGCUUCCAGGAAAAGCCUCUAAGCAUCAGGUAACAUCAAAUCGUACCCCAAACCGACACAGGUGGUCAGGUAGAGAAUACCAAGGCGCUUGAGAGAACUCGGGUGAAGGAACUAGGCAAAAUGGUGCCGUAACUUCGGGAGAAGGCACGCUGACACGUAGGUGAAGUGAUUUACUCAUGGAGCUGAAGUCAGUCGAAGAUACCAGCUGGCUGCAACUGUUUAUUAAAAACACAGCACUGUGCAAACACGAAAGUGGACGUAUACGGUGUGACGCCUGCCCGGUGCCGGAAGGUUAAUUGAUGGGGUCAGCGCAAGCGAAGCUCCUGAUCGAAGCCCCGGUAAACGGCGGCCGUAACUAUAACGGUCCUAAGGUAGCGAAAUUCCUUGUCGGGUAAGUUCCGACCUGCACGAAUGGCGUAAUGAUGGCCAGGCUGUCUCCACCCGAGACUCAGUGAAAUUGAACUCGCUGUGAAGAUGCAGUGUACCCGCGGCAAGACGGAAAGACCCCGUGAACCUUUACUAUAGCUUGACACUGAACAUUGAGCCUUGAUGUGUAGGAUAGGUGGGAGGCUUUGAAGUGUGGACGCCAGUCUGCAUGGAGCCGACCUUGAAAUACCACCCUUUAAUGUUUGAUGUUCUAACGUGGACCCGUUACCCGGGUUGCGGACAGUGUCUGGUGGGUAGUUUGACUGGGGCGGUCUCCUCCUAAAGAGUAACGGAGGAGCACGAAGGUUGGCUAAUCCUGGUCGGACAUCAGGAGGUUAGUGCAAUGGCAUAAGCCAGCUUGACUGCGAGCGUGACGGCGCGAGCAGGUGCGAAAGCAGGUCAUAGUGAUCCGGUGGUUCUGAAUGGAAGGGCCAUCGCUCAACGGAUAAAAGGUACUCCGGGGAUAACAGGCUGAUACCGCCCAAGAGUUCAUAUCGACGGCGGUGUUUGGCACCUCGAUGUCGGCUCAUCACAUCCUGGGGCUGAAGUAGGUCCCAAGGGUAUGGCUGUUCGCCAUUUAAAGUGGUACGCGAGCUGGGUUUAGAACGUCGUGAGACAGUUCGGUCCCUAUCUGCCGUGGGCGCUGGAGAACUGAGGGGGGCUGCUCCUAGUACGAGAGGACCGGAGUGGACGCAUCACUGGUGUUCGGGUUGUCAUGCCAAUGGCACUGCCCGGUAGCUAAAUGCGGAAGAGAUAAGUGCUGAAAGCAUCUAAGCACGAAACUUGCCCCGAGAUGAGUUCUCCCUGAGACUUUAAGUCUCCUGAAGGAACGUUGAAGACGACGACGUUGAUAGGCCGGGUGUGUAAGCGCAGCGAUGCGUUGAGCUAACCGGUACUAAUGAACCGUGAGGCUUAACCUUACAACGCCGAAG
rnacentral:rRNA from 1 species